rnacentral:rRNA from 1 species
AUUGAACGCUGGCGGCAUGCUUUACACAUGCAAGUCGAACGGUAACAGGCCUUCGGGUGCUGACGAGUGGCGAAUGGGUGAGUAAUGCAUCGGAACGUACCCAGAGGUGGGGGAUAACGCAGCGAAAGCUGUGCUAAUACCGCAUGUGAUCUGAGGAUGAAAGCGGGGGACCGAGCAGCAAUGUUUGGCCUCGCGCCUUUGGAGCGGCCGAUGUCGGAUUAGCUAGUUGGUGGGGUAAAGGCCUACCAAGGUGACGAUCCGUAGCUGGUCUGAGAGGACGACCAGCCACACUGGGGCUGAGACACGGCCCAGACUCCUACGGGAGGCAGCAGUGGGGAAUUUUGGACAAUGGGCGCAAGCCUGAUCCAGCAAUGCCGCGUGCGGGAAGAAGGCCUUCGGGUUGUAAACCGCUUUUGGCAGGAACGAAACGGUGUCCGCUAAUACCGGGCGCUAAUGACGGUACCUGCAGAAUAAGCACCGGCUAACUACGUG